rnacentral:sRNA from 1 species
ACAUCCAGGACCACUCCUGUAUGAGGGCCGGCU